GGCUGAGCCGCUGCGCCGCUGUGGCGCGCCAGGCCCUUCCCCAGCCCCAGAGCAGGGGCCUCCCCGCGGCCGUCCCGGUCCUCCAGGGCCACAGGGACCCCGCUCCCCGCUCCUGCUUCCUCAGGCUCCAGAGCAGGUGUACUGAGCCGGGCCCCCUGAGGGCCUGGGACCACGCCGGCCGGCCUGAGGUGCCCCGUGUCACCUGGAACCUGUGACCCAGGGAAGCGGGCCUGGCCGUGGGAGGGAUCUGCGGGUACUCCUUUCAUCUGAGCAGGGCUGCCGGGUGCAGCAGAGAGCAUGAGCCCAGGGGUACCCAGGGCCCUGCCACUAGGUCCUCCCAGACUGCGCACCCAAAGGCCGGGGGCGGCGGCGGCGUGGGAGGUGGCACUAGCGCCACUGGCCUUGGCGAUCGUUUCAUGGUUUCGGACUGCAGAGCUCCUCAGCCUCCCAGCGAGGCGCACUCCUGGAAGGGUGUUUGACGAGUUCCUUAGGCAGCUGCGGGGAGACACCAGGAACUGAACCCAGGACCUCCCAUGUGGUAGGUGAGUGCCCAACUGCUUGAGCCACAUCCGCAUCCCCCCAUUGUCUUUUGAUGGCUUUUAUUUGCUGAGCCCUCCUUGACUGAGCUCCCAAUAUGUCGGGCAUUGGGAAGACCAAGGAAGCAGCACCAUGAAAGAGAAACCAUGGAGGCAUUAGCCCAGAGGGGUUAGGAUAUACGCAUUUGCAAAGUGCUCUCCAAGCCCAGGGGACACAGUGACCGCCUUUCUCUGAGGGAGUCAGCAGAGAAUUCGCAGGGGAGCCGGCACUGAGCAGGUGGAGAAAGCAGAGAGAGGCAGAGGACGAGGCGUGCAAGAAACACAGAGGGAACGCCUCGGCGCUUUGGGGAGGCCGGCGGGGGGAGAGCAGGCCUGGGAGCGGG
rnacentral:lncRNA from 1 species